rnacentral:rRNA from 1 species
UACAGAGGGUGCGAGCGUUAAUCGGAAUGACUGGGCGUAAAGGGCGCGUAGGUGGGUUGAUAAGAGAGUUGUGAAAUCCCUGGGCUUAACCUAGGAAUGGCAACUGAGACUGUUGAUCUGGAGUACAGUAGAGGGUAGUGGAAUUUCCGGUGUAGCAGUGAAAUGCGUAGAUAUCGGAAGGAACAUCAGUGGCGAAGGCGGCUACCUGGACUGAUACUGACACUGAGGCGCGAGAGCGUGGGGAGCAAACAGGAUUAGAUACCCUGGUAGUCCACGCUGUAAACGAUGAGAACUAGAUGUUGCAGAGCUUGGUCUCUGCAGUAUCGAAGCAAACGCGAUAAGUUCUCCGCCUGGGGAGUACGGCCGCAAGGUUAAA